AUGGGACUCAUGCUGCUCAAACCACAUCCAAAGAAGCAACACGCUCAACACGCUCUGGUCAUGCUCUUUGCCAAGGACCAAGGUAUGCUGUGUUUUAGGCAAUCCUUAUUUGUGCAAUUGCAGACAUGUGUUUGUAGGGAAACUCUCUUGUCUCCUAUGUUCAAUAAAUAUAUUCCAAGGUGUAUUGUUUCUCUUUUUCUUUUCAACAUUAGCUAUUGGUUCUACAGCAGUCAGCCGGUCACCACUGUAGCAAUAUUUGGUUCAAGUCCAUUUUUGGAUUCUUCUUCUGGAAUGGCUAUGAACAAGAAGACAUGCCAUAGUUACUAUUAG
rnacentral:rRNA from 1 species